rnacentral:rRNA from 1 species
AGGGUUUGAUUAUGGCUCAGGACGAACGCUGGCGGCACGCUUAACACAUGCAAGUCGAACGGAGAACAUUGAGCUUGCUUAAUGUUCUUAGUGGCGGACGGGUGAGUAACACGUGAGUAACCUGCCUCUGAGAGUGGGAUAGCUUCUGGAAACGGAUGGUAAUACCGCAUAACAUCAUGGAUUCGCAUGUUUCUAUGAUCAAAGAUUUAUCGCUCAGAGAUGGACUCGCGUCUGAUUAGCUAGUUGGUAAGGUAACGGCUUACCAAGGCGACGAUCAGUAGCCGGACUGAGAGGUUGAUCGGCCACAUUGGGACUGAGACACGGCCCAG